rnacentral:rRNA from 1 species
UACGGGGGGGGCAAGCGUUGUUCGGAAUUACUGGGCGUAAAGGGCGCGUAGGCGGUUGGAUAAGUCAGCUGUGAAAACCACGGGCUUAACUCGUGGCCUGCAGUUGAGACUGUCUGGCUUGAGUGUGGGAGAGGAGAGUGGAAUUCCUGGUGUAGCGGUGAAAUGCGCAGAUAUCAGGAGGAACACCGGUGGCGAAGGCGGUUCUCUGGGCAUUACCUGACGCUGAGGAGCGAAAGUGUGGGGAGCGAACAGG